GCGUUUUAGUCACGGGCCGUCGUUUGAUUUAGCCCAAGACCAGGAAUUUAUCUAUAGUCUCGGAAAGUGUGGGACUCGUAGGCGAUGGCCGGUACUCGUGUAAAUGGAUUUUAAAAUGGGUGCCAUUGCUGAUAUGUUGGUCCUGGUGAAGUGUUACGGAGAAACAGCAAAACUGUGACGUUUCCUGUGAUGUUUUGUAGAGAGCGAGAGAGAGAAAACAAUCCAGGAUGGUGAGGGAAGAGCUGAUAUGUGAUAACAGGGACUAACGUGUAUCCUGGACGUUCCGUAACAUCAGAGAGGUGCUGUAAAAAGGGGAUCGGUGAGGAAAUUCGAAGAGACCGAGGACCCUAGGUGAUGCCGUGGAAUGAAAGCUGUACAGAGAGCGAGAUGGGAGGCUUAAUCCCUGACAUUUUAAUCUCCUAAUCGCCCACUUGGAGCAGUUUUCUGGAGUUUCUACUGCUGCACCUGGCUAUGACGUACACAUUCUUUGGAGAAUGAUUCCACGGACAAGAUUUGCGAUCUUGUUUGUAUUCUAAGCACCAGCGACUGACAGCUCUGCUGAAGUUCAUC
ensembl:lncRNA